UUGAGAACCAGAACCAUGUGGAUGGAGGAAGAAGGUUCUCCAAAACUAUAUGACAGUUGUACCUAAUGAAAUCAAAAGGACUUUAAUAAAUGAUGGGGAAACUGAGGCCCAGCAGAUGGCCGAGCUUGAGGUUAGUUCCGUGAAGUACUGAGGAUCUGCAAAGACGAGACCUUUUCAGGAGGCUGCGUCUGGAGCCAGUUAGCCCGGCCAAGAGCUUUCAGAAAUUACAAGGCCACAAAAAUGCUUUUUGGCUUGAAGCAUCCGAAUGGGCCCCACCCAUCUUGCUUAGAGUCAGGCCUCCUUCUUCUCACUACUGGGCCCUGUGUUGCCAGGC
rnacentral:lncRNA from 1 species